rnacentral:misc_RNA from 1 species
UUCGUGCCGGCCACACUG